AUUUUUCAGCCAGACUUCAUUCGUGGGAUUUGCCAUUCCUCUAUUUGGGUUAAUGCCAGAAAAUAUCUCCUGUGCCUAAAAAUAGCUGCACUGUAGGUAGCUUCUGAUCCUAGUCUCAAUCCUUACUUGAACUCAGUUGAUAGCUGUGUGCAGACAUCAGUAACCCUGGAUCGGAGGAUUGCAAAGAUUCACAGAGAGUAACAGUCAUAGUCCAAGACAAGUAACUGAAACAGAUGCCAAGAAGGCAGCGUGACUUUCUCUACCAAAGAUUACACCUGUCGAUACGAUCAAGACGGACAUCAUCAUCU